rnacentral:rRNA from 1 species
CCUACGGGAGGCAGCAGUGGGGGAUAUUGCACAAUGGGGGAAACCCUGAUGCAGCGACGCCGCGUGUGUGAAGAAGUACUUCGUUAUGGAAAGCUAUAGUAGCCGGGAACAAAAUGAAGGUAACUGAGUGAGAAGCCCCCGCCAACUACGUGCCAGCAGCCGCCGGAAUACGUAGGGGGGAAGCGUUAUCCGGGUAUAACGGGGGGAAAGGGAGCGUAAGCGGCAGUGGAAGUCUGGAGUGAAAGGCGGGGGCCCAAACCGCGGACUGCACUGGAAACUGUACGGCUGGAGUGCAGGAGAGGUAAGUGGAAUUCCUAGUGUAGCGGUGAAAUGCGUAGAUAUUAGGAGGAACACCAGUGGCGAAGGCGGAUUGCUGGACUGUAACUGACGUUGAGGCUCGAAAGCGUGGGGAGCAAACAGGAUUAGAUACCCGAGUAGUC